UAAUACAGAGGGUGCGAGCGUUAAUCGGAUUUACUGGGCGUAAAGGGUGCGUAGGCGGUUGUAUGAGUGUGAUGUGAAAGCCCUGGGCUUAACCUAGGAAGUGCAUCGCAAACGGUACAGCUAGAGUAUGUGAGAGGGUGGCGGAAUUUCCGGUGUAGCGGUGAAAUGCGUAGAGAUCGGAAGGAACGUCAAUGGCGAAGGCAGCCACCUGGCACAAAACUGACGCUGAGGCACGAAAGCGUGGGGAGCGAACAGGAUUAGAUACCCUGGUAGUCCACGCUGUAAACGAUGAAGACUAGAUGUUGGUGGGGGAACCCAUCGGUAUCGAAGCUAACGCGAUAAGUCUUCCGCCUGGGAAGUACGGCCGCAAGGUUG
rnacentral:rRNA from 1 species